rnacentral:other from 1 species
UUAUCCCUGCCGUGUUUGUCGGGAUAAAUGUGUGUUGAACCAACACCAAAUAUUUGGGAGCUUGACUUCUGGUUUGUCCAUAGGGCAAGCAUAGAGAGGCACCCACUUUACACACUAGGUUCAUCAGCAGAUCCCGACGGCAUGUUGCGGGGAUUUU